rnacentral:rRNA from 1 species
GUAGGUGGCAAGCGUUGCCCGGAAUUAUUGGGCGUAAAGCGCGCGCAGGCGGUUCUUUAAGUCUGAUGUGAAAGCCCACGGCUCAACCGUGGAGGGUCAUUGGAAACUGGAGAACUUGAGUACAGAAGGGGAAAGCGGAAUUCCACGUGUAGCGGUGAAAUGCGUAGAGAUGUGGAGGAACACCAGUGGCGAAGGCGGCUUUCUGGUCUGUAACUGACGCUGAGGCGCGAAAGCGUGGGGAGCAAACAGGGAUUAGAUACCCUGGUAGUCCACGCCGUAAACGAUGAGUGCUAAGUGUUAGGGGGUUUCCCGCCCCUUAGUGCUGCAGCUAACGCAUUAAGCACUCCGCCUGGGGAGUACGGCCGCAAGGCUG